rnacentral:rRNA from 1 species
GACGAACGCUGGCGGCGUGCUUAACACAUGCAAGUCGAACGGAAAGGCCCCCUUGUGGGGUACUCGAGUGGCGAACGGGUGAGUAACACGUGAGUAACCUACCCUUGACUUUGGGAUAACUUCAGGAAACUGGGGCUAAUACCGGAUAGGAGCUCCUGCUGCAUGGUGGGGGUUGGAAAGUUUCGGCGGUUGGGGAUGGACUCGCGGCUUAUCAGCUUGUUGGUGGGGUAGUGGCUCACCAAGGCUUUGACGGAUAGCCGGCCUGAGAGGGUGACCGGCCACAUUGGGACUGAGAUACGGCCCAGACUCCUACGGGAGGCAGCAGUGGGGAAUAUUGCACAAUGGGCGGAAGCCUGAUGCAGCAACGCCGCGUGCGGGAUGACGGCCUUCGGGUUGUAAACCGCUUUCGCCUGUGACGAAGCGUGAGUGACGGUAAUGGGUAAAGAAGCACCGGCUAACUACGUG